ensembl:snRNA U6 U6 spliceosomal RNA
GUGCUUGCUUCGGCAGCACAUACACUAAAAUGGGAAUGACACAGAGACUACUAGUAUGGCUCCUGCACAGAGAUGACAUGCAAAUUCAUCAACAAUUCCAUAUUUUA